UGGGGAAUUUUGGACAAUGGGGGCAACCCUGAUCCAGCCAUCCCGCGUGUGCGAUGAAGGCCUUCGGGUUGUAAAGCACUUUUGGCAGGGAAGAAAAGCCACUGGAUAAUACCCGGUGGCGCUGACGGUACCUGCAGAAUAAGCACCGGCUAACUACGUGCCAGCAGCCGCGGUAAUACGUAGGGUGCAAGCGUUAAUCGGAAUUACUGGGCGUAAAGCGUGCGCAGGCGGUUCGGCAAGAAGGAUGUGAAAUCCCGGGGCUUAACCUCGGAACUGCAUUCUUAACUGCCGGGCUAGAGUAUGUCAGAGGGGGGUAGAAUUCCACGUGUAGCAGUGAAAUGCGUAGAGAUGUGGAGGAAUACCGAUGGCGAAGGCAGCCCCCUGGGAUAAUACUGACGCUCAUGCACGAAAGCGUGGGGAGCAAACAGG
rnacentral:rRNA from 1 species